CUGGUCAAUCUAGUGGCGAACGGGUGAGUAACACGUGGGUAACCUGCCCAUCAGAGGGGGAUAACAUCCGGAAACGGAUGCUAAAACCGCAUAGGUCUUCGAACCGCAUGGUUUGAAGAGGAAAAGAGGCGCAAGCUUCUGCUGAUGGAUGGACCCGCGGUGCAUUAGCUAGUUGGUGAGGUAACGGCUCACCAAGGCCGUGAUGCAUAGCCGACCUGAGAGGGUGAUCGGCCACAUUGGGACUGAGACACGGCCCAAACUCCUACGGGAGGCAGCAGUAGGGAAUCUUCCGCAAUGGACGCAAGUCUGACGGAGCAACGCCGCGUGAGUGAAGAAGGUUUUCGGAUCGUAAAACUCUGUUGUUAGAGAAGAACAAGUGCUAGAGUAACUGUUAGCGCCUUGACGGUAUCUAACCAGAAAGCCACGGCUAACUACGUGCCAGCAGCCGCGGUAAUACGUAGGUGGCAAGCGUUGUCCGGAUUUAUUGGGCGUAAAGCGAGCGCAGGCGGUUCCUUAAGUCUGAUGUGAAAGCCCCCGGCUCAACCGGGGAGGGUCAUUGGAAACUGGGGAACUUGAGUGCAGAAGAGGAGAGUGGAAUUCCAUGUGUAGCGGUGAAAUGCGUAGAUAUAUGGAGGAACACCA
rnacentral:rRNA from 1 species